CACCAUCAUGGUGGCCCCGGUUUCCCAACACACAUCACGUCACAGGCAAACGCAAAGCAAAAGAGAACGGAACCAAACGAACGAUCCCCAAAUCCAAUUCCAAUCCCACGCCGCCGCGGCUCCGUCUUCUCCCUCCGCCGCCGCCGCCGCCGAUGCCUCCUCCACCUCCACGCGACGGCGGCGCCCGCGACCGCUUUCUUCCUCCCCCGGACACCACGGCUCGCCUCCUCUCCUCUCCGGUCGCCGCGGAGGAGCACGGCAACCUCUCCGGUCGCGCCGCCACCAUGGUUGGGCAGGGCGAGCAGCAUAGGACCGCCGGUGACGGGAGCUCCACCCCGUAGCCGGCGCGUCAAACCUCUCGUCGCACCCGAAACUAUAGCCCCUCUCUUCCACAUGGCGACCGCAGCACCGGAUCUCCUCCAAGACCUCGAGCUCGAGGUCGAGCUCGACUAUGGUGGUUGGUUGUGUGAAUUGAAGGGGGCCAUGGAGAAGCUGUUGCGGGGGAGAAGAGACCCAACUGCGGCGACCUCUCUCUGAUCUGAUCUUCCGCACCCAACCACAACAGCAGCGCGACGCAUCAGGUCGAUCCCGUCCACGACGACGUACGAGACACCUGCCGCAUCUCCGGCCCCCUUCCCCACGGGCCAAGUUUGGUUCCUCUAGGAUGGAUUGAAUAUGGAGCGGUGUGGCCUUCGGCUAGAAUUUGCUGUUUGAGGUUCUCUAUAUUUGGUACGCAAAGUCUGUCUCCGUAUCAUAAUAUUCCUUUAUUGCCUAUGACGAAUUCUGAGGCUUUGCCCAGACUCACUUUUCUUUUUAUGCCUUUGAUGCUGGGGUGUCCAUGCUGAGCCUUCUUAAUCUAUUCUAUUAGGGUGGACUGUAUUUCCAAAUUUGACACAUUGCCUUCAGUGACCAUCACCAAGUUAAGUUUGGCGAACUCCUACUGAAAUUUAGGUCUCAAGUUCUGUAGACUGUCGUUGCCCGAGCUGGGGUUUCGACUAAGAGCAUUUGCCACUACAAUCGCCUUUUCUAGAUGGUAGUGAAUACCAACAUCGUAAUCUUUCACUAAUUUCAACCAGCGCCGUUGUCGUAAAUUGAGUUCGGAUUGUGUGCAAAUAUAUUUGAGGCAUUUAUGGUCCGUAUAUAUUUCACAACGAUUUCCAAGCAAAAAGUGCCUUCACUCUUUGAGUGUAUGAAUGACUGCUGCCAAUUCCAAGUCAUGAGUAGGAUAAUUUUCUUCAUACUUUCGUAGCUGCUGGAAGCGUAUGCGACUACUUUGCCUUCUUUCAUUAAUACGCAUCCGAGGCCCUUUCGGGAUGCGUCACAAUAUACUUCAAAACUUUUGUGUAUGUCUGGUACAAUUAAUACUGGUGCUGUUGUUAAUUUCCUUUUGAGUUCUUGGAAACUUUUCUCACACGCUUCAGUUCAUACAAAUUUCUUAUC